rnacentral:rRNA from 1 species
AGAUUGAACGCUGGCGGCAUGCCUUACACAUGCAAGUCGAACGACAGCACGGGGGCAACCCUGGUGGCGAGUGGCGAACGGGUGAGUAAUGCAUCGGAACGUGCCCAGUAGUGGGGGAUAACUAGUCGAAAGAUUAGCUAAUACCGCAUACGACCUAUGGGUGAAAGCGGGGGAUCCGCAAGAACCUCGCGCUAUCGGAGCGGCCGAUGUCUGAUUAGCUAGUUGGCGGGUAAAAGCCCACCAAGGCUUCGAUCAGUAGCUGGUCUGAGAGGACGACCAGCCACACUGGGACUGAGACACGGCCCAGACUCCUACGGGAGGCAGCAGUGGGAAUUUUGGACAAGUGGGC